AUUGAACGCUGGCGGCAGGCCUAACACAUGCAAGUCGAGCGGAUGAAGGGAGCUUGCUCCUGGAUUCAGCGGCGGACGGGUGAGUAAUGCCUAGGAAUCUGCCUGGUAGUGGGGGAUAACGUCCGGAAACGGGCGCUAAUACCGCAUACGUCCUGAGGGAGAAAGUGGGGGAUCUUCGGACCCCACGCUAUCAGAUGAGCCUAGGUCGGAUUAGCUAGUUGGUGGGGUAAAGGCCUACCAAGGCGACGAUCCGUAACUGGUCUGAGAGGAUGAUCAGUCACACUGGAACUGAGACACGGUCCAGACUCCUACGGGAGGCAGCAGUGGGGAAUAUUGGACAAUGGGCGAAAGCCUGAUCCAGCCAUGCCGCGUGUGUGAAGAAGGUCUUCGGAUUGUAAAGCACUUUAAGUUGGGAGGAAGGGCAGUAAGUUAAUACCUUGCUGUAUUGACGUUACCAACAGAAUAAGCACCGGCUAACUUCGUG
rnacentral:rRNA from 1 species